GCAAUUCUUGGUUUAACAGUAUAUUCUUUUUUUUAUUCCGUUAACUUUAACGUAGGGUUAACAGAUAUUUCACGAUACAUAUAUACGCAACAUUCCCCUGUUUCUUUUCAAACCCUAAAAUUUUUAACGUUUUCGAGUGGCCAGUGUUCACGAAAGCUUCACUCACGACCGCUCAAUAAUGGUAACCAGAAGUCUUUUUUAAUCACAUUUGGGCUUUGCCUUUGGAGGUAUGCCUACAACUUUUCCCACUCACAUGGUAUACAUUUGUCCCUCCAAACUUUCUUGGGCUACCUUUUUUUAUCCUUCAUAGACUUAUUCAAAUCGAACAUUCUUCAUAGACUACUUUUACUAAUAUGUAAUUGAUGAACUUGUAAAGGGAAUAUUUUGUUUAGGUGUAAUCAUAAAUUGAAUAUUUUGUCUUCCCCAUUGUUGAUCAAAAUCCCUAGAACAUUUAUCAUUGAUCUGUGAUUGGAGAUGACUUAGCGGCAUUCUUUUUCUACUACUACUUCAAGUUCAGAGGCAGUUCAAGCCAUUUGCUUUCAAAAGGAAAAUUGAGAAGCAAAGGGCUGAAACCAUAUACUUGCAAGUGGGACAUCACUCAUUCUGCUAAUGAGUUGAGACAGACAAUGUAUCAAUAGCUAGAAAAAUUGUGGCUCGCCAAGCAUUUGGAAAACUUGCAUUUCUCACUCCAAGAGAUGAUUCUUAAGGAGGGGACACUUUGGAGAUUCUACAGCUCUUCGAAAAGAUGGCUGAGAUCUACUACUAACCAAGUUAUUUAUCGUUGCUUGUAGCUCAUUAUAGUAAAGACAAUGAAGCUCAUUUUAGCUCACGUGUACUUGCUUCGUUGUAUUCCUCUAUUUGUUCAUAAUUUUAUGUGGAAUAUCUGGUUUACUUAGUGGAAAGAUUUAUUUUGUGUUUCAAUGUGCUUCUUUUUUGUCCCCUAAAUGAAUUGAACUUCGUAAGUUUAAUCAGAGUUAUAUUUAUAGGCAUUUUUUUAGCCAAAGUGAUUGUUUGAAUGCAUAAUGAUUGAAGACAUUGGAAAUAUAGUAUUAGCUUGAGUUAAAUUGAACGCAACUUUCUAAGUUUUCUGCACAUUUUUUGCCUAAAAUUUGUUUUAACAAUUUGAAUUUGUGCUGUUUAGGUCUUUUGGGAGUCAAAAUUGUGGUUCAAGUUGUCGUCUCUCUCCCACUCUCUCUUAAUGAUUUUUUUAGUCUUGUAUUUAGGGAUGGGAUGUAUGUUUGUGUGCAUGGACGUUUGAAAAGCUUCCACGGUAAAAGAACCUUAAAUGAAUUCUCCAUAAGGCCCAUAGAGGAGGAAAACGAGAUUGCGUACCAUUUUAUUGAGUGCAUAUAUGUUCGUUUUUACAACAAGAAGGUCAGAGCAUUGGUCUAAGACUCUUUUUGAUCGAAAGUUGAAACAAGGCUCUGGUGUUGAUGUUUCAUUUCGAUGUGGACUUCUGCUCCAGUUUCUGAUGUUGUCUGUUUGUAACAAAAAGUACAAGCACAAGGUAGUUGUUUCAUUUUGAUGUGGAAAGAUUGGGGCUUUAUUUAGAAUUUCAUUCUUUGAUGUUUUUUUUUAAGACGGUGAUCAUUGUAUGCAGAACGAAGAUGAGUGCAAAAUACAAACAUUUCACUAUUUAAAUUGCUGAGUUAAUAGAAGGUUAAGAUAAAAUUUUUGUUUUAGUUUUUCUAGAUUAUUAUAUCUUUAAGACUUUAUUUAAUAAUUCUUUACCUUUAUUUUUAUUUUUAGAUGGUA